rnacentral:snRNA from 1 species
CAGCAGAUUUGCAUGGCCCCUUCUCAAGGAUGACAUGCAAAUUCAUGAAGUAAUCCAUAUAUUU